GGGCCCGCACAAGCGGUGGAGCAUGUGGUUUAAUUCGAUGAUACGCGAGGAACCUUACCAGGGCUUAAAUGUAACGGGACAGAUCUAGAGAUAGAUCCUUCUUCGGACUCAUUACAAGGUGCUGCAUGGUUGUCGUCAGCUCGUGCCGUGAGGUGUCAGGUUAAGUCCUAUAACGAGCGCAACCCCCAUCGUUAGUUGCCAACGAGUAAUGUCGGGAACUCUAACGAAACUGCCGGUGCAAACCGUGAGGAAGGUGGGGAUGACGUCAAAUCAUCACGGCCCUUACGUCCUGGGCCACACACGUGCUACAAUGGUAGGUACAAAGGGCAGCCACUUGGCGACAAGGAGCUAAUCUCUAAAACCUAUCUCAGUUCGGAUUGGAGUCUGCAACUCGACUCUAUGAAGCUGGAAUCGCUAGUAA
rnacentral:rRNA from 1 species